UGGUACAGUGGUUAAAAGCACUUGGCUGCUAACCAAAAGGCUGGUGGUUUGAAUCCACC
rnacentral:tRNA from 1 species